CCGGGCAAACCGGUCGAAAGGCCGGGACGCAAAGCCAUUGGACCUACGGCUUUCCAGCUAUGGUCGCCAGGCUGCU
rnacentral:ncRNA from 1 species